rnacentral:misc_RNA from 1 species
AAAAAAAUGAUCAGCUCCUAACGUCCGGUUCCAGUAAGGAUACUUCGUUCUCAGCUCACGAACAAGCCGCGCCUGAGAACGACUAGAUAUCUCCGGAGAGAAAACCACGAAGAACAGAUCAGCUUCUUCAGGCUCCUGAGUGAUAAACGCGCUGUUAAUGAGAGAUUCGUAGAAAUUUGAAGCUGACGGACUAAAAAAAAUAAUUCGUUGAGUCGUUGGAUAUAUGAAAACUUUGAAACUCGUAAGCAUCUUAUCGUAGUUCAUGGAAAACGUUGACGGAUAUAGAUAAGGCGAAAACGAAGACGAAGACGAAGAAGGAUGAACUAAGACAAAGAGGAAGAGUAUAAAACACAAUGAGAAAGUGAAAGUUGCCAUUUCUCCGUUGAGCGAG